ACUUUAUUCAUAAAAAAUAUGUUACCAUUUAUUUGUAAAAGACUUAACUUAUCUUAAAGUGAAUUUCGUUGGGGCGACGAAAGUAAAAAACUAACUGCUUUAAGUUUAAACAAUAAUAUUUGAAUACAAACCGAUCCUUAUUUCAGAUUCUAARAAGAAGUU
rnacentral:rRNA from 1 species